GACGAACGCUGGCGGCGUGCUUAACACAUGCAAGUCGAACGAAGUGGCGAACGGGUGAGUAACGCGUAAUAAACCUGCCCUUCAGAGGGGGACAACAGUUGGAAACGACUGCUAAUACUGCAUCCUGGUGGAGGGGAUUGCGUCUGCUUAGCUGGUUGGAGGGGUAACGGACCACCAAGGCGAUGAUCAGUAGGCGGUGGGGGAGGAUGAUCGGCGACCUUGAGACUGGGACACGGACCAGGCUCCUACUGGGAGGAGCAGUGGGGGAUCGUCAGAAAUGGAAGAAAGUCUGACGGAGAAACGGCGAGUGAGUGAUAACGGGCUUCGGGUUGUAAAGCGGUGUUAAUCGGGACGCGGUACCGGAAUAGAAAGCAACGGCUAACUACGUGCCAGCAGCCGCGGUAAUUC
rnacentral:rRNA from 1 species